rnacentral:rRNA from 1 species
UCUUAUGUACAUGCCUAUGCAUAAUGUUAAUGCACUGGAUCCCAUUAGAACUCUGCAGUUAAGUGCGCUCAGGAUAGAGUAGUAUUGGGAUGGGUGACCUCUCAGGAAGUCCUAGUGUUUUACAUGCC